CGGGGUGUGGCGCAGCUUGGUAGCGCGCGUCGUUCGGGACGACGAGGCCGCAGGUUCAAAUCCUGUCACCCCGACCC
rnacentral:tRNA from 16 species